UACGGAGGGGACUAGCGUUGUUCGGAAUUACUGGGCGUAAAGCGCACGUAGGCGGAUUUGUAAGUCAGGGGUGAAAUCCCGAGGCUCAACCUCGGAACUGCCUUUGAUACUGCAAAUCUCGAGUCCGGAAGAGGUGAGUGGAAUUCCUAGUGUAGAGGUGAAAUUCGUAGAUAUUAGGAAGAACACCAGUGGCGAAGGCGGCUCACUGGACCGGUAUUGACGCUGAGGCGCGAAAGCUAGGGGAGCAAACGGG
rnacentral:rRNA from 1 species